rnacentral:rRNA from 2 species
UACGAAGGGGGCUAGCGUUGCUCGGAUUGACUGGGCGUAAAGGGCGCGUAGGCGGUUUGCAUAGUCAGACGUGAAAUUCCUGGGCUUAACCUGGGGGCUGCGUUUGAUACAUGCAGGCUUGAGUUCGGAAGAGGGUCGUGGAAUUCCCAGUGUAGAGGUGAAAUUCGUAGAUAUUGGGAAGAACACCGGUGGCGAAGGCGGCGACCUGGUCCGAUACUGACGCUGAGGCGCGAAAGCGUGGGGAGCAAACAGG